CACGUAGGCACCAAGCGUUGUCCGGAUUUAUUGGGCGUAAAGAGCUCGUAGGCGGUCGUGCAGGUCGGAUGUGAAAUCUCAGGGCUCAACCCUGAAACUGCAUUCGAUACUGCGCGGCUAGAGUGCUGGAGGGGAGACUGGAAUUUACGGUGUAGCAGUGAAAUGCGUAGAUAUCGUAAGGAAGACCAGUGGCGAAGGCGACUUCCUGGCCUGUUCUUGACGCUGAGGCGCGAAAGCUAGGGGAGCAAACGGG
rnacentral:rRNA from 1 species